GUAACGACCUCAUUAUUUGACUCAGGUGUGUUGAAGUUGAGACACAUCUAAAAGUUGCAGGAGACCGGCCCGCGAGGCCUGGAGUUACCCACCCCUGGGCUAGAUCCAGGACAGGAGCUGCCUUCUAGUUUCAGUAACCUCCAUGAUGUCAUUUUCUGCUGGCAGGAGUGAAGAAAAUGCUCCUGUUGAGGUUCCUCGAGAGCUGGCACCAGUCUGGUUUUGGACCAAACUGAGUGGAACCCCAGGUCCUGGAGCCCAGGCCACAUGACCAGAGGCGAAGAACCCAGGACCAACCAUGGCAACAGACAAGCAGGACCGCCUCUGAGUCUCAGCCUGACUUUACAUGUGAUGUUCCAUUUGCCCCAUCAGAAGCUGUUCAGGGCAGCAUUCAGUCCCGCUGUGCAGAAAAAAUGGCUGCCAACAAAACUUGUUAGUUUUUAAUGGUUUUUCUUGAAUUUUCGAAUUGUGUGAUGCCACUUUUUCUCACCUUAGUUUAGUUACAGCACAUUCAUGGUCUACUGCCUUGGCAUUCUGACCUCUGCUAUCUGAUCACCAGGAUAAGUUUAACGGUACAAGUGAAGGCCCGAUGCAGGAGGGUGUUAGAACUCUCUGCAGGUUACAGAAAUAUUUUGUUUGCCUGAAUGAUUAUAACUCUGAUUGUCCAACAUUUGGCUAAUGUGUUUUUCUCCUCCAGCAUGACAACAAUUGAAAAAGGAUAAAAGUACGGUAAAAAUAGUUAAUUUCCUGAUUUACAAAAGCAUAACCAACCACAUUUAAAAUACAAGAGAGGAUAGUCUAGUUGGGUCAAAUUACAGUGGCUAUAAAUAUAAGGACUCCUAUUUAAGUAAUGAUUUAGGUUUAUUUGGACUCCAUUUUAAAUCCUACGACACUUUAUUCUACGUAAAAUUACUGAACCAAAUUAUGGGUUUGCUGCACAUAUUGUCAAUCAAAUAUUCAAUUCUUUCACUGAGGUGUAAACACCAUGUUUAAAUUAAAUCCAACUGUUAUASUUAGCAAUGAAAGAAAAUUUGGGCUAAAUGAUUUGAGUGGGUUUCUUAGGAGUUUCUGUACCGAAACACUAAGUGUUUCAAUACAGAAACGGGGAGAUGCAUGGAAAUAAUCUAAUCUACAAAUUGUGAGUUAAUAUAAUCUAUUGAGAAAUGUUUCAGUUUUGGGCUUCAGCUAAAUAUAAAAGAGGUUAAAUCAAAAUUCACAAAUGGGUCAACUAUUCGAAUGAGUUAACAAAGUAAUGCUGAAUAUUCUGAAUUGAAUACAUUAAAACUAACAAUGAUGUCAUGUGACAAACCUAAUAUCGUAACGGACUGAAUGUUAUAUUUCUAACAUAAUCUCAGGUCAGUUUGUGGAGCGCCGGAGGUUGCCAUGGCAACGGGUGUGACAGAGAGAGAGAGAAAGCAAAAGGUUCCACAUUAAAGUUUGAUGCAGCUCUGCUUU